AAAGGGUCCGUAGGCGGAUUAAUAAGUCAGUGGUGAAAUCCCAUCGCUUAACGAUGGAACUGCCAUUGAUACUGUUAGUCUUGAAUGAGGGUGCAGUGGUUGGAAUGUGUAGUGUAGCGGUGAAAUGCAUAGAUAUUACACAGAACACCGAUUGCGAAGGCAGAUCACUAACCCUAAAUUGACGCUGAGGGACGAAAGCGUGGGGAGCGAACAGGAUUAGAUACCCUGGUAG
rnacentral:rRNA from 1 species